rnacentral:rRNA from 1 species
AUGGCCGAAAAUUGCUUCUGUGAUGCUUCAUUUUGCUGGUUCUUUGCAUUCUCCGACAGAAUCCUUGAGAUGUCCCCAAAGGAUGCACCUGAAACUACUGCGUUCAUCAUUCUCAAGCUACCGACAGUGGAAUUUCAGUUUUGUGCUCAUGGUCUUACUGAUCCAAAAAUCACGAGAGAAACCUGGUGGUGCUUGCUGAAAAUUAUUUAUAAGAUCAGUCAAUUGGAUCACUUAUUCAGACCAAGACAGUGGCGGUCGCUCAAAUAUGAUUCAGUUGCAGGCUAUCUCGAGGAGCCAUCCUCAGGUACACAUCACCAACCUCAUGAAGUUUUAGGGUUCAGUGUUGAGCUAUUUGGGCGCCCUCCGGAUCGUGCAACAAUUGGGAAUAUCAUUCAAAUGCCGCCUGUAAGAGUGAGGAUCAGUCGGAUGGGACACUUGUUCAAGCCUAGACAGUGGCCCUCUUUCAAAAAUCAUUCAAAUACAAGCUCUCCCGAGGAGCCACGUUCAAGUGCACCACUGCCAUCUGAUGAUACACAAAGUCAACAUCUAUCUCGGUUACAUUUUCAUGCUUAUCAAAACGGUAGCUCUUCCCGAAUGUCUUGGGACCCUGGCAAUCACAUAAUGUCGAAUCUGGAGAAGUCUUUCAGUUGUUUCCAAGGUACGCAGUUGCAGUCUCGGCACACACCUGAUCGGACAAAAUCUGGUGCUAUAAAUGCAAGACGAGAAGAAGCGAUACACUGGGAGCAAGUACACUACAAGGACCUGCAGUUUUACCCAUACAGUUUAGAACAGUCACUGGAAAGUGAUGAAAACUUUAUCCCUUGUCAGUCUGCCUAUGGAUUCGAUUUGGAGAUGAGUGAACUAGUGAGUAACAUGUGGAAAUCAGACCAUGGCUGGGCAGUUUGUUUGUAUCUUGUACGGCGGCAAUACUUGCUUCUUGGUGGUUUGUGUAGUAAUCCUAGCUACACAUUACACGUGAGCAUCAAGCAUUGGUUUGAGCAACAAAAUGAAAGGACCUAUAGCUUGCUUGUAACUGUUGUACUACCACUUCACCCCAUGCAUAUGAGGAUGCUACAGACCAUGGAAGUGUUUAGGGAGCUGCUAAGUGCAGUUACAAUCGAGAACAACAGUUCAGAUAGUUCAGUUGUGUGUCCAGGCGAUGAGCAAUGGAAUUCAGAGGGUUCUCGAUUGGGGGAGCAACAGUUGUCAUUCCCUGUUUCCGCCAUGUCCACUAAUCAGUUCCUAUUUCAUAUGAAGACUCUUACUGAAUUUGAGACUAUGUUGAAGAUUUAUUUAAGGCUGCUUCAAGUUUGGAUUGCCCCCCUGAUUGGCAGUGAGUCAGCUAGAGCCUGUCACCUUGAGCAGCUCUGGGAUCCAGGCGGCAAAAGUUUGUCAUUUUGGAUUUCUCACUCAUCAGGUGGUGGCCUUAAUUCAGUGGAUGUCGCGGAAUUCUCUUCUGGCUGCGAACAAGCUCGUUUUCAUGGAGGAAGUGGUCAUGGUUAUCUGUCACUUUGUACUCCACAAUCAUCGACGAUUCUAAUGGUGGUAGUAAUCAGCAAGAGAGCAUCGGUCAUGAGUGGGAUAACAUCCUAUACCUACUCCAAUCAAUACCCUUUUCAAGAAGGGAGGUGUGUCAUCGUUGUCGCUGCCAUCUUCGACACCUCCAUCGACUGGAUUCCCAUCAACCACAUUGUUGAAGCCUACUCCAACCUCGAGUACCACAGGGACUAUGAUUACGUCCACAGACAUCGAGUGCACUGGGAUCCGGGUGGUUGGCAGUGGAGUCGGCUUGGGGUCAAGCCGAGUUUCAAGAAGGGAGGGAUGUCAGGAGCCUACUGUAAUCUGCAUGUACAUGGGCUUGCUCCCUUCGACAGCACAUGGGCCGGCCCCGGGGUGCAUGCCACAUCGAGCGAUGCCUGCUACAAGUACCAUCGAAGGAGUCAACGAACAGACUAUCCGGGCUUGGAUCAGAAACGGCAACGGCGGCCUCCUCUUCCCCUGUACUUCCUCCUUCCUCCUUCCCCAAUCUCUGUAGCUGAGCUUAAUCUUCCUGUAAUGGAGUAA